AUACGGAGGGUGCAAGCGUUACUCGGAAUCACUGGGCGUAAAGGACGCGUAGGCGGAUUGGAAAGUCAGAUGUGAAAUCCUACAGCUUAACUGUAGAACUGCAUUUGAAACUUCUAAUCUAGAGUAUGGGAGGGGGAGAUGGAAUUAGUGGUGUAGGGGUAAAAUCCGUAGAUAUCACUAGGAAUACCGAAAGCGAAGGCGAUCUCCUGGAACAUAACUGACGCUAAGGCGUGAAAGCGUGGGGAGCAAACAGGAUUAGAAACCCUAGUAGUCC
rnacentral:rRNA from 1 species